rnacentral:rRNA from 1 species
CAGCAGCCGCGGGAAUACGGAGGAUCCGAGCGUUAUCCGGAAUUAUUGGGUUUAAAGGGUGCGUAGGCGGAUAGAUAAGUCAGUGGUGAAAGACGGUGGCUCAACCAUCACAGUGCCGUUGAUACUGUUUAUCUUGAAUAUGGAUGAGGUAGGCGGAAUGUGGCAAGUAGCGGUGAAAUGCAUAGAUAUGCCACAGAACACCGAUUGCGAAGGCAGCUUACCAAGGCAAAAUUGACGCUGAGGCACGAAAGCGUGGGGAUCGAACAGGAUUAGAUACCCCCGUAGUCCCUGUCUCUUAUAC